UAAGGAAUAUUGGGCAAUGGGCGCAAGCCUGACCCAGCCAUGCCGCGUGCAGGAUGAAGGCCCUAUGGGUUGUAAACUGCUUUUGUACGGGAAAAAACCCCCGGAUGCGUCCGGGGUUGAUGGUACCGUAAGAAUAAGCAUCGGCUAGCUCCGUGCCAGCAGCCGCGGUAAUACGGAGGAUGCAAGCGUUAUCCGGAUUCAUUGGGUUUAAAGGGUGCGCAGGCGGAGUGGUAAGUCAGUGGUGAAAUCCUACAGCUUAACUGUAGAACUGCCAUUGAUACUGCCAUUCUUGAGUACAGUUGAAGUGGGCGGAAUGUAUCAUGUAGCGGUGAAAUGCUUAGAUAUGAUACAGAACACCGAUAGCGAAGGCAGCUCACUAAACUGAAACUGACGCUCAGGCACGAAAGCGUGGGGAUCAAACAG
rnacentral:rRNA from 1 species